GAUGAACGCUGGCGGCGUACCUAAUACAUGCAAGUCGAGCGAACAGACGAGGAGCUUGCUCCUCUGACGUUAGCGGCGGACGGGUGAGUAACACGUGGAUAACCUACCUAUAAGACUGGGAUAACUUCGGGAAACCGGAGCUAAUACCGGAUAAUAUAUUGAACCGCAUGGUUCAACAGUGAAAGACGGUUUUGCUGUCACUUAUAGAUGGAUCCGCGCCGCAUUAGCUAGUUGGUAAGGUAACGGCUUACCAAGGCAACGAUGCGUAGCCGACCUGAGAGGGUGAUCGGCCACACUGGAACUGAGACACGGUCCAGACUCCUACGGGAGGCAGCAGUAGGGAAUCUUCCGCAAUGGGCGAAAGCCUGACGGAGCAACGCCGCGUGAGUGAUGAAGGUCUUCGGAUCGUAAAACUCUGUUAUUAGGGAAGAACAAAUGUGUAGGUAACUAUGCACGUCUUGACGGUACCUAAUCAGAAAGCCACGGCUAACUACGUG
rnacentral:rRNA from 1 species